GAUGAACGCUGGCGGCGUGCCUAAUACAUGCAAGUCGAGCGAACGGACGAGAAGCUUGCUCCUCUGACGUUAGCGGCGGACGGGUGAGUAACACGUGGAUAACCUACCUAUAAGACUGGGAUAACUUCGGGAAACCGGAGCUAAUACCGGAUAAUAUUUUGAACCGCAUGGUUCAAAAGUGAAAGACGGUCUUGCUGUCACUUAUAGAUGGAUCCGCGCUGCAUUAGCUAGUUGGUAAGGUAACGGCUUACCAAGGCAACGAUGCAUAGCCGACCUGAGAGGGUGAUCGGCCACACUGGAACUGAGACACGGUCCAGACUCCUACGGGAGGCAGCAGUAGGGAAUCUUCCGCAAUGGGCGAAAGCCUGACGGAGCAACGCCGCGUGAGUGAUGAAGGUCUUCGGAUCGUAAAACUCUGUUAUUAGGGAAGAACAUAUGUGUAAGUAACUGUGCACGUCUUGACGGUACCUAAUCAGAAAGCCACGGCUAACUACGUG
rnacentral:rRNA from 1 species